GCGCCCGUCCUAGGGGAGUAGUCUCCCGCGAGCGCCAGUCGCUCGCCCGGCACGCGUCAACAUACUUGAUCAACCGAUCAUGGCGCGUGCGACCCAAGGCCCGCUUAGCCGGGCUGCAGAUGUGCUGCCAACGCCAGCCGUGGUUAGCAAUAAUCUGCACAGGGUU
rnacentral:sRNA from 2 species